AACGAACGAUGGCGGCAUGCCUAACACAUGCAAGUCGAACGAGACCUUCGGGUCUAGUGGCGCACGGGUGCGUAACGCGUGGGAACCUGCCCUUAGGUUCGGAAUAACUCCCCGAAAGGGGUGCUAAUACCGGAUAAUGUCUUCGGACCAAAGAUUUAUCGCCUUUGGAUGGGCCCGCGUUGGAUUAGCUAGUUGGUAGGGUAAAAGCCUACCAAGGCGACGAUCCAUAGCUGGUCUGAGAGGAUGAUCAGCCACACUGGGACUGAGACACGGCCCAGACUCCUACGGGAGGCAGCAGUGGGGAAUAUUGGACAAGGGGCGAAAGCCUGAUCCAGCAAGGCCGCGUGAGUGAUGAAGGCCUUAGGGUUGUAAGCUCUUUUACCCGGGAUGAUAAUGACAGUACCGGGAGAAUAAGCUCCGGCUAACUCCGUG
rnacentral:rRNA from 1 species